ACAUGAAAAUGAGAAUUGAGGGAGUCAUGGGAAAAAAAGAACCCUAAAAAAGAUGUUCUGAGAGAAAGAAAAAAACGACUUUGGAUCGUGCACUGUCGACAAUUGAGCACUUCCACCACCGCUCAAAGCCGAGGAGAGGGCAGCGCCGCUGUUGGGCGAUCACCAUCUUGGCCGGAUGUCGCUAACGCUGAGCAGAUCAAGAGGGUCGUCCGCCGUUGCGGAUUGUCGUCUCCGAGCACACCAUCGCCGAAGGCCAGAGCAGAUCGCCAGAGCACUGGUAGAGUUGUGGUUGUUCCAUGUAGCCGCAUUUUUGGUUAAGAAGGCCGGGAGCGGGAGGGAGGUCGGUGGCGGUGACGUGAAGAAGGACGCUCCAGCAUAACGUUCUAGGGCUGAGGUGGCUUCAGCAGUUAUAGCCUUCUCCAUUUUACUGUUUUUGUGCAACGGGUUCGAGCUGGACACACUGUUCUUCGAUGUAGAAAGGGAACUUACACUGUUCUUUGAUGUAGAAAGGGAACUUUCCACCACAAAACUGCCAAACUUAAACGGAUAAUGAAGACUUGGCGGUGACGUGAGGAAGGACGCUCCAGCGUAACCUUUUAGGGCUAAGUUCUUCGAUGUAGAAAGGGAACUUUCCACCACAAAACUGCCAAACUUAAACGGAUAAUGAAGACCUGGCAGUGACGUGAGGAAGGACGCUCCAGCGUAACCUUCUAGGGCUAAGUUUUUCGAUGUAGAAAGGGAACUUUCCACCACAAAACUGCCAAACUUAAACGGAUAAUGAAGACCUGGCGGUGACGUGAGGAAGGACGCUCCAACGUAACCUUCUAGGGCUAAGGUGGCUUCAGCAGCUAUAGCCUUCUCCAUCUUACUGUUUUUGUGCAACGGGUUCGAGCUGGACACACUGUUCUUCGAUGUAGAAAGGGAACUUUCCACCACAAAACUGCCAUACUUCAAAUGAAGAAUCCCAAGGCCCGCCAUUGAAAUUUUUGAAUUUUUAGGAGAAAAACAAGCACCGUACCAGUUUACGUAUUACUGUAAUCACAUGAUUUUAUAGAAAUAUUUUGACCGGAUGCAGGAUUUUAUAGAAAGAUUUUGACCGGUGUUUUCCUAAUUUCACUAUGAAAAGGACUAUUAUGUUUUCCUUGUCAAACGGGAUUUACUUAUUUAUUUAUUUCUAAUCUAAAAAUUGUUUUCCUAA